rnacentral:rRNA from 1 species
UACGGGGGGGGCAAGCGUUGUUCGGAAUUACUGGGCGUAAAGGGCCAGUAGGCGGCCAACUAAGUCGGAUGUGAAAUCCCCAGGCUUAACCUGGGAACUGCAUCCGAUACUGAAUGGCUUGAAUUCGGGAGAGGGAUGCAGAAUUCCAGGUGUAGCGGUGAAAUGCGUAGAUAUCUGGAGGAAUACCGGUGGCGAAGGCGGCAUCCUGGACCGACAUUGACGCUGAGGAGCGAAAGCUAGGGGAGCAAACGGG